rnacentral:lncRNA from 1 species
CUGGGCCCAGCUCCGGGAAGCACCACUUCGACGGCCACAGCCAGGUCAAGGACUUUAUCCAGACGCUGCUCCUAUACGGCGGCUACAACGAGCUCGCCGACAUCCUUGUCAACCUCACCUCGCUCGCCACCGAGAUGGGCCGCCUCGUCUCCGAGGGCUACGUGCUCACCGUCCUCGCCCCCAACGACGAGGCCAUGGCGCGCCUCACCACGGACCAGCUAAGCGAGCCUGGCUCGCCGGAGAACAUCCUCUACUACCACAUGGUCCCCGAGUAC